GAUAAAACCGGUUCCUAUACGAUCACCGAAGUUAAGCAACGUCGAGUCUGGUUAGUACGUAGAUGGGUGACCGCUUGGGAAUACCAGGUGCUGUAA